GCAUCGAUGAAGAACGCAGCGAAAUGCGAUACGUAAUGCGAAUUGCAGAAUUCCGUGAAUCAUCAAAUCUUUGAACGCAAGUGGCACUCCCAUGUGAAAGGGUGGGAGUAUGCGUGUUGGAGAGUUUUGAAUGUGAUGGGCGUGAAGCCUGAUUGGUGGGAGGUUUUCGAGGGCAGUAAAUGCGCAUCGGAAUCGCCUGAAGUUGAAGUGAGUACGCUUUCUGUAUGUUGACUCGUAUUAACGUGCAGGCAAAAAAGUAUUCAUUGCGACAGAAGAAGUUGACGCUAUACGCGCAAACUCCUUCAACCUCAUUCAUACUACACAACAGAAAGUGAAACCUCCACCACGCAAGAGGACCCGCCGAAUUUAAGCAUAUCAAUAAGCGGAGGA
rnacentral:rRNA from 1 species